CCAGAACUGUGAGUCAAACGCACCCCCCUUCUUCAUGCACUAGUAGUCUGUGGCAUUCAGUUACAGCAAUAGAAAACAGACCGAGACGAUUUGUUUCAUUAUGGACCCUCGCCCACUUCUGGAAGGUCAGGCUCUUUGGUGCACCUGAAAACUCACUUCCCAGAGAAGCGGGUGACACUCUGUCUUGGGGUGAGGGGGGCUGGGUGCUGGUCCCCUGCCCCAGCCUCUGGCUGGCUGCACAGAAGGAGCAUGGCUGGGGUGUGACUGGCCCUGUGAUGUGUCUCCCUAGGGUCUCAGGCACCACAGCACAUCACAGGGCAUCUUGCAGCCCAGGAAAGAGGAGGCGAGACCCAGGCAGGGCCAGUGUGGAUGAACAGUGGGAACAGCUUGCGGAAGGCUGCCUCUGCAGGCCGCCCCAGAUGUGUCUUCAGGAUGGCCGUGUUUGCAGGCUGUGCCACCUGCUGUACCCAGCUGGAAGAGGACUGCCUAGGAAUUUUCUUUGAGUUUCCAGGCUAGGGGUGUGGUGUGGUGCGAUGGUGGGGUGGGAGCGCCUGCUGCCAGGUGCCAGAGGGGGGAAGGAGAAGGGAGGGAGGAGGGAAGAAGCCUAUUACAACUGGUUUUUUUUCUGCCUAUUUUUCUCUUACGACUUUUUUCCAGUUAACAUGUGUCAUCUACUAGCAGUCUCCAUGCACUUGCCCAUUUAUCUCAUUUUUCAUCGUCUGUUUUACCAUUAAUAGCAGCUUUACGAGAGCAAGAGUUAUACCAUUUUUUGGACUCUGCCUGACCCGAAAACACAGCUUGGUACCUGGUAGUGGCUCAAUAACAAAUCUUCUGGAGGAAGCAAGGGACCCUCUUCCCACGUGGCACAGACCAGUGGGCCUUCCAUGGGUGGCAGCAUGGGUGCCUGAUGGUCUUGGGUGUCCUGUGGAUAAUGGUUCUUCAUUUUAAGAAAGAUUUUCAAGAACUCACAUUGGUAUAAAAAGUGAGUUGUCAUCCCACCUGCGACUUCAUGGAUGUUAUUGCUUGGAGUUAAGCCCAAAUUGAAAAAAAAAAAAAAAAAAAACCAAUGUGAACUGUGUUAAAGGGAGCACAGAGUCCAGGUGGGGAAAGGCACAGCUGGGGCUGAUGGACCAGGCUGACCUUCUGGGAAGAUGACUUGCAACAGCCUGGUGCUCAGAUCAGGCAGAAGGUGUGGAGGCUUCGGCCAGCAUCGGAGCGAGGAGCUGGGCUGGUGCUAAGGGCGUGGGCACAGGGAGCUGGAGCAGGUGAGGAAGCCAGGCUGGGGAGGGGUGGAGGUACGUGCGUGGCUUCCACCUGUCUGCCUUAUUUUAAGACUUAGCACAGUCCCUUGCACACAGUAGGUGCUCAGCCAAUAUUUAAUGAAGGAAUAAAGGGGUGGAUGCAGGAGUAGCUGAGUCUCUGCACCCACCAGAUCCUACAGGGCUUCCCAUGCCCUUCUCCCUGAGGGAAGCAGUCUCUCGGGAGAGGAGAAAAUUAGAGGGGCUGGAGCCCUGCAGAGGGGUGAUCCCCGCCCACCUGGACUGGCUGAAGAGAAGCCUGCUUCUGGCCAGCCUUUGCGGGUUUGUGGAGACAAGUUAAUAGCACAGGUGUGUAGCAGGCGGGAUGUGAUGCGGGCAGGGCCUGGCUGGGGGACGUGAGGACUCCCUCUAAUCAGCCUUGGCCCGGGGUUCGGGGUUUUGCCAGGGCGCUGAGAGAGCUCCUCUCUUUCUCUCACCAGGGAGUGGGGAGGGUUAGCAGAGGGCUCCGAGUCUCAUGGAGUUGCUGGCACAGACUUCUCAGGAGCCAUUGCAGGACUCACACCAAUGUGGGGACAGAGCUUCUCCCUCCCAGGAGGACCAAGGACAGCUCAGCAGUUUCUUCCAAAGAAAGAAGCCAGUUCCGUCCAGGUUGUCACACUCAGGGCAAAGGGCUGGGCUAGGGUGCCAACAUUUAGAGUCCCCAGUGUGCACCAUGUGACUUUACCGUGACCUUUGAUGACUACCUCUGCAGGUGUGGCAUCCUGGGUUGGGAAGGUUGAGGCCCUUAGCUAGGGCCAUGCAGCCCUUAAGUGUCCCAACUGGAAUUGGAAUCAGGGUCUUUCAUCAUCUAAAAAUCAUGUUCUCUCUAAUACUCACGGCCAUGCACUCCAUCCAAAAGAGACCUCUGGGCUAUGUGCCUAGAGCAAUAGAAAAUGUAGACUAAGGACAGGAGACUUGGGACAGAAAUAUUUGGGGACAUUUUUGUGGCUAAAUGCUCUGGACCUGGAGAGAAAGCCUGAAGACACAAUCUAUUAGGUCAAGGGCCUCGGGCAGAAAUCUCAUCUGAUCGGUCAACCCAUCGGGAAGGGUACUUCAGGCAGGGGGAACAACCCGCGUGCAAAGGCAUGCGGGGUGUAGCAUUAGGAUGAGGGUGUAGCAGGCCAUGGGCACAGAGGGGUGGGCUGCACUGGGGACCUACCUGCCCUGCUCUCCCCCUGGAGGACAAUCUGCUCAGACCCAGGCCGCUCUCCUGGAUACUCUGCACCAUGUAGAGCUCCUCUGAUAACAGUCUAAGCUCUAGUCUCUUCAAGGGUUGAUAUUCUCUCAAAUAGCAAAGGGCCAUCCUGCUCUACAGGCCGGCGGGUGGAAGGUGUUAAACAAGGAAGGGAAACGAUCGCAGCAAUUGCUGAAGAACUUGGAAGUGGUGUCUUGCUCUCUACCCAUGUAUGCUUCAAGCAGAAUCAAGGAGAACCCAGUCAGAUCUGCCUUCAGCCUGCAGCUCAGGAGCACUCAACCACUGAACCACAUCCCCAGCCCUAUUUUGUAUUUUAUUUAGAGACAGGGUCUCACUGAGUUGCUUAGGGCCUCGCUUUUGCUAAGGCUGACUUCAAACUCACGAUCCUCCUGCCUCAGCCUCCCGAGCCACUGGGAUUACAGGCAUGUGCCUCUCCACCGGGCUUCAACUUUGUCUUCUUGAUCUGCAAACUGGGAAAACUUUGUGAGUGAAGACAGAGUGAGGAAUGGCUUCAGAUAGUUGGAAAUAUUAAGUGAUGCUAAGGAAAGAGGAAUUUCCAUCUCUGGCUAUUCCUGAGGGGAGACGUCAUCACUUUUCAUGUUCUUCCCUGAAAGCCUAAGAGAAUUUGAAGUUUGGGCCAUAAUUGUCCUCCCUAAAGGGACGAUGCCCAGAUGGUACAGUUCUGACAUCUAACUUGGUUUCUUCCUGUCAAUACACUUUCCCCUGUAGAGCCCCGGGGCCUCUUUCCCGAUUCUGUUUUUUAUUUUAUUUUUUUUUCUCUUCUUCAAGCCAGUCUUAGUCAAAGUGUCUCUGCUACUUUCUAAAACGCAGAUUUUUAAACCAGUUGUGUGUUUGGGUGGGGAGCAGGCGCAGAGGGCCUCUUUUCUCCUGCCACACUCCCUGAUGAUCAGCAGCAAGACUCCUGGUGCUUGUUGCCAGUUCAGGAGCCCUCGGAACUGCUCUCCUCCCUGGCAACACGCACUCUUGAAGAGCUCCGCCCCUCGGCUGCAGAACAGCCUCAUUUUGAGGCAACUCUACAAUUGCCAUUCUAGGUGGCCCCAGACCUCUCCAUCCCUCUAGUGCUGUAAGAUUGGUUUUGGUGCCUGGAGGUGUCGGAUAGUCCAGAAGCCAAGUCUGCACUUGGCAAGAGCCCUGAGACCGCCAUACCUGGGUGAAGACCCCAAGAGAGCCCUGUAGGAAAAGGUCCCUCACACCCAUUUGACAGAAGGUGGUGUGGCCACUGUGAGGGGUGGAAGUAGCACUGGAGGUAGGCCUUCUGUCUCUGUUCAGAGAGAAACCAACAAUGGCUGCUUGAGCCUGAAAAUCCCCAGGGCCUCGGAGACCACGGGAACACUGUGGCAAGUUCUUUUAUCCAAUCCACAUUGGAACCAAACACUUGAAUCCAUGUCUAUUUCCUCCCUGAAGCUAGUAACUUGCUCAAAACUUUGGACCCAAUUCAAUACAUGGCAGAGCCAGGCUUUGAACCCAAGGGUCGAGCUGUGUCCUCUCAGACGCUGCCUCUCCCGUGUCAGCCCAAAGCAUGGUGGCUUUCUCUUAAGACAUUGUCGUCUUCUGGGAGUAAAGCCAAGUCCUCCUCCAGGAAGACCUCAAUGAAUGCUGCAAGCCACCAACGGUGUGUUUUCCCCUCGGAACAACUGACCUCCCUCCUCAGUUUCUCAUGGAUCUGAAGUUCCCCAUCUCGAAGGCAAAGGCUGUUGCUACUAAAAAAUAUAUAUAUAUAUAUUUUCAAGUACCAGUUCCCUCCAUCUCAUACUUCCUAAAUUUUAAUUCAUUACCAAACUCAGGAGAGGCUCAAAGACUUGCAGAGUCAAAGGGGAAACUUUGAGGAAGGGAAGCUGUGGGAACCAGAAUUUGCCUAUGACUAAUCUUUGAUCUUCCAUUGAAAUCAACUGUUCAAGAAGCUCUUUGAAAAUCAACUGAUUUUGAGAUCAAGUAAAUUUUUUUUACAUCUAUGGGUUUCCUCAUCUGCCAUUGAGGAUAAUGUAUUCAAAGGGCCUACUCCAUAAAUGGGGGUCAUUGUUAUUGUUUUAAAAAGACCCAUGAUCUCUAUUGGUCAGUUGGAUAAAAAUGCAUUUCCCCUCUUUCAUCUAAAUUCAUUGAGUAUAAGAUGGCGGGCAAAAAUCACAGUGUAAAGAUAAAACUUUAAUCCUGGAUCUCAUCCUUAAGCAUAGUACCAGUCCUCUCUCUCUGAAUUCUCUUGGUGUUUUCACUGGGUCUCAUUCCCCACAUGUGGUCAGGACAGGGACUAACCUCUUAGCCUCUUCUCACUUCUCUCCUUCAUCUGGUUCCCCAAUCUUGACCUGUUGGCUCAAGGACUCCAAAGGAGAAGCUAAUGAUACACCUAAAAUACAAGGUCUUAGAGGUGGAAUCUGAGGACUACCAGAGAAGAGGGGUAGCUCCCAAAAGAGGCAAGAAGAGCCCUUUUAACUACAAUAUAAAUGCCAGAGAGGUAGAGAAAGAAAGGAGUUGGCAACAGAGGAGAAAGUAAUAUGGCGGUAACAGAACUGGGGUUGUCUCUGUGGAAAUAACUCUGUAUCAUGUCAAGAUCUUUCCCUCAUCUGUGAUGCUGAACAUUAUUACUUACAUAAGAAUUAGGUUUCCAAGUAUCAUUCAGGGACAUUAAAGACAGUGAGGUAGAGUGGUGGAGUUGACUGGGUAAAUUCAUUUACAAACUAGUGCAUUUACUAACAAUGUAUUAAGCAACUACUAUGUGAGAAAAUGGAUAUAAGACUUGUCAGAUUUAGCACUGAACAAGAUCCUGCUCCCUGCCUUCCUAGAAAAUGUCUAAUCAGUGAAACUUUCAUGGCAGGAAAGAGGAGACGGAAAUGUCUGCAGGGUGUCAUGGUAUUGACACAUCUUCCCUUUGAAACCUUGAGCACGGACACAGUCCUGGAUUGGAGCACAGUACGGACCACAGGGUGGCCCUCGGUAAGUGGCUGCUGAAUGAAUGACAUUAUUAUUUGCCAGUCUGUCUCUAUUACUAGACUGUGAGUUCUGUUAAGCAAUAAUCCCUUAUCCACACAAUACAUUGUAGAGUCAGGAUAAACUAGGAGACCCCAAUAUCCCAGAAGUCAUCAUGGAUCCAUCUGGGGGAUUCUGUCCAUAAAGAUCCAUGCAGACAAGGCAGUCGCCAUCUUGAAAAUGGCAGGUCACUAUGUCUACCCGCCAAAUCAUGCUCUGGAGCUCUAGCUAGCAUGGGUGGUUAGACAUGACAACCUGGAAGUAGUUCACAUCGUUGCUGCUCAUGACUCACUGGCAGGACAAGGAGGCGAGGAGACGUGUGAGCUCUGCAGGUAGUGUGCAUGUGUGUAUGUGUGUGUAUAUGUGUGUGCAUGUGCACUCGUGUGCAGUGGGGGAGAGGCACAGCCUUGGAUCAGUGAAUGGGAGGGGGCUUCCAAGGGAAACUGAGAGGAAUCUCCUCUGCAUGCUGCUCUGGGCUUGUCCUUUGCAGAUCCAGCACCAAGGGUAAGGACACAUGCCGCAGUCCGGCUGCAGCAAAAUAACCGGGGGGUGACGAGCAACUUGUGUACAUUGAUACAGCAGGAGUGGGAGCCGUUUAUUGUAGGACAACAGAGGUAUUUAUACAUUCCACACAGCUUAUCUAAUUAACUUAAACUAGUUACAUCAGUCAACCAAUAAGGAAUCUCCACACUUAAUGGCUCGCUGGCGUUACUUCACAAACCACUCCCUCUGGCAAAAUGCCAGGCACCAUCCAGACUGGUUUACAGACUCUAACAGACACACAGAGGGACAUGUGGACAGAGGACACAGAGGGACAGGUGGGAGACAUGGCCUCUGUGAGAAGCCAGGUGGUAUGACAGGAUAGUCACUCACUGGCUCUUGGCCUUGGGCAAAUGCUCAAGCCUCUACCUCCCCUUCUGCCAAGUAGGAUUCAAAAGGGCCUGUGCUUCGAUUGUGUCAUGUCAAGACCUGAGGGGACAACAGGUGAGGAGCAUGUAGUUCAGGCACAGGACACAUGUCUGUGGAGGACGAGGCUCUGGAGGAAUAUCCUAAGCAAUAGAUGGUUUCUUUGCACUCAGAAUGGGAGGUGGGAUAGGCUGUGGGGGGUGGGGAUAUUCCCCUGUCCACUCUCAGGAGCUGGUGAGUGGGGGGUGAGGGUGCCCUGUCGUGGCUCUCUGGCUAAUGGGACUUCUUAGAUGGCACCUCCGCUAUCGUAGUACUGUCUGAGUAGUGCUGAGCCACAUCCUCUCCCGAGGGGAGCAGGAUUUCUGAGUUGUCACCUAACAUCUUGACGGUUUUGACCCAAACAAUACAUCCUAAGGAAAACAGAGUGGCCACUCACAGGCCUUUUCCCACCCCUCAUGCCCUGCAGUACCAUGCACUGUGGGCAAAGCCGCUCAGCCCUGGGGUGGAAGGCAGGUCCUCUCACUCCUGGACCUGUGGGUCCUCUUGGACUGGGGGCUAGAUCCUGCUUGAGGAGGAAUGCUGUGUUUCUGUGUUCAUGAGAUCCUCAUCUGUCAAAUGGAAACCAGAAUCAUGGCACCCGCCUCACGGGACCUUUGUGGACAUGAACCCAGAUCCAGCACCGGGCCAGGAGGCAAGUCCCGCGAGCAGUCGCCAGCGCCCGCCCAUCCAGGUACCACAGUUCACGGCCAAACUAGGAAGACACCCGUGGAUUGCUCCAGAAUUAAGGAGGAAAGGCCGGUGUGCGGGUUAAUUGAAAGUAACUGGAAGAAUGAACCAGCCCAAAGUCCUGGCUGCAUGAAAUCAGGCGAGAAAAAAGCCAUUAACUACAGCAGGGAGCCCACGUCUAGGCCUCGAUUUCAGAUGAGGAACCCAGUCUUGAGAAAUAAAUCCCGAUACAUUGUUGUCCCCGGGGCUUCCUCUGGCACGUCCCUGGCCACAUAACCUUAGAUGAUCCUUUCCCCUUUGCACCUUUCUUUCUCUUCCUGAUAAAUGGAAGCAUAACCAGGACCCCUGAGGAGGGUGUGGAUGAAAGAAGAUGGAAGUCCCUGAGCUCUUUGACUGACAUGGGCUAGUUUCUAAUUUUCCCACCUUAUUUUUUUUUUUUUGAGAGUAACUUCUUCUCAUCCUGAGGCCUGUCCCUACAUUGGACACUUGGUCUCCAAGGCUUAUUGACACCGUUUCCCACCCAAGACAUUUGUUGCUGCCUUACAGACCCGACACCACGGUCCAUCCUGGAAUGGAAGAUGGAUCAGACCCCAGACGUCCAGCAAAGGGAUGGUCUCCGGCAUGGGGCUUCUCCCCCCAGCCAGGCUCCUGGGGAGUUGCCCCUUCCCUCUCUCGCUGCCCCCAGUGGAUCAAACAUGGUUGUGCUUGUGGGUUUACAGAUGGUCCCCUUGGCCUGGGGCACUCCUCUGCAUGAGUGAUCUUAUACCUCUUUUCCUGUCCCUGGUAAAUGGGGGUGCUGGUGUGGGUGGAGUGGGGACCUGAAACCCAGUUCCCAUCUCAAGUGGGCCAACACCCUUGUCUUGGUAUUGGCCUUUUAGCUCUUUUUUUUCUUUCUUUCUGUUUUCUUUUUUUUCAAGUCUAAGAUCAGGUUGUGAUUAAUGGCAUCCUGAGGUUCCCCCAUGCAGAAAUAAGGUCAUGGUGAAGAAUAGGGCCGUUUUGAAACCCUGGUGAACUUCAGGGGCCAGAGCAGAAUGAAGAUCACUCUGGUUUUGGCUCAUCUUCCUUCUCUGUGGCCUGUGACUUCAAGGCCGGGGCCGUCCCUGCCUCUCAGACUUCCUCUCAUGCAAAUGGCCCCCAGAAGGGUGAGGAGCAGCCACGCUAGAAGAGGAAGCGGAGGGACGCAGCCAACUGCGACCUCUGAGGACCUACUUUCUCUUUUCUAGGCGAGCACCCCGGGGGGUCUCCCCUUGAGGGGCCCCAUCCCGGUCUCUGCCCUGAGCCAGGGCAUGCUGAUGUCCAGGAUGCCCCACAACCUGGAAGCAAGAGCCGGGAGGCUGCUGGCCCAACCACUGCUCAAGAGUCCCUGCUCAGUUCCAUUCAGAGAAAGACCACAGCUCUGAGGCGUCGGUGGCUUUCCCACCCUCCAGCCCUGCCUGUCGCCCCUCUUUCUGGAGCUCAGGACUCCACACCACCUCUCCUCAGCCGUGUGGCUCGGAGGAGGCUGGGAGCCCGUAGGACUUGACAGCACAAAGAUCAGGGACAACCGAGCUUUAGGCCAGAAGGGCCUGGAUAAGCCCUAAGAAGGCAGACCCCUUCCCACGCCUCUGAUGGCAUCUUAAAAAGUUCUACUGUGUGCUGACCUGAGGGCUGCAGGGGCUUGCUUCUUGCUGGACUGAGUUAGUGGGCUGGUGUGCGUGACAUAUUUCUCGAGAACCCUAAGUGCCACAGGAGGGGGUGUGGACAGAGGAAGGAGGACAGACCGACAGCUCCAGCCCUGGCUUGCGUCCGAGUCUGUGAGACCUGGAGGCUCUCAGCCUGGGUCUUUGGGCCUCAGUUUCCCUUCUGGGAGCAAGAGGGCUAGAACCCCCUAUCUUUCUGUCCCUCUGUUUCGUAGUCACAGAAGGAAACAUUCUGUCAUAGCCCCGUCAUCGUCUUAGGAAGGAGUGGCUCACUUCCAGGAAUGAUCCUGAGUGUAGAUGCAGCGGUUCUCGGGCCCAACCAUCUCUCGAGAAAUAAAUGCAUUGAUGAUUAUGUAAGAAGAAGGAUGCAGAAAGUCCCUACCGGUCAGGAUUUUGUUAGCUGUCAUUUACCUCCGGCUGCCAUUCACCAAGUGACUCCAAGCAGUGUGGCGUGGGGUGGGGGGGGGCUCUGGACACCUUCCCCCAUACGUACACACAGUCUACCUUGUGAGUUCAAAGACGUGGCCGGGGCUUUGAAGUGAGAACCAAGUCAGGGCCUGGAUCCCUGCUUCUCCACUUACACAAAGGGGAAGAGAGACUUCAGAAGGUCCGUAGUCGCCAUGGCUCCUGUUCAGUAAGAUUUUCAAGUCUCCUAAGAUACGUAAAUGCCUCUAAAUCUCAUAAAAUAAAUAAGACCGUUUAGUGCAGCAGAAUGAGAGCCCAGUAACCUCGGGGGGAAGUCAUCGGAAACUUCCAGGAUGGAAUUCCCUUAGCUGCACAGUAAAGAGAUUGAAUCUCCCCCUCCCCAGAGUUUCUUCCCCUCCGUGGUCUUGUUCCCCUAAGCAGAUGGCCACGGCCUGAGAGUUAUUAAAGCAUUAAAAUAGUAUCCAUGAGCCCUCAGUUGCUUCUUUUCUCUCGCACACCCAGGUCUGUUGAUACUGAUGAAGAUCGGUCGUUGAUGAAGAACUAUCAAUAUGCACCUCUGUGGCUAAGGGGGCAAGUGGCUCCACAUGGCGCCAUCGUGUGAGAUGUGGCUCCAGACAUCCUUCUAGCUUCCUUCCCUCCUUCGCCAAAGGGACUAGAAGUUUUCUUUCAAAUAUGCUUUAAAUGGGGGGAUGAGGAGCUGCUGGUGGGAGAUGCAGGAAGAGGAAGGCAUCAGCAGCACCAGGGAGGUGUCCAAGAAGCCGCCACCUGGAGCUUAGGAUGAAGAUGAAGGGUCCACUGCCUCUGUCCUGCGUGGACUCCAAGAGCAAAGAAGGGGUGCUAUGGGAAAUGGGAUCUGGAGGGCUUUUCUCCCCCACGGUGCCUCUCCAUUCUCCAAAUAGGGCCUUUCAGACAAACAAGGGGGUCUUGUUCUCCCAGAGACAG
rnacentral:lncRNA from 1 species